AUGCCUUAAACUUAUGACUAAGGAAAAUAAUGAUUUGGGGGACACCCGAAUGCUCACUGCUAAUUUGAGACAAAUAUUUGAGCUGGUAGUUUGCCCUAAGGUGACCUGCCCACUUUGCAGGAAGCCAGGUAGUGGUGAUCUGUCCA
ensembl:snRNA U12 U12 minor spliceosomal RNA